CCUACGGGAGGCAGCAGUGAGGAAUAUUGGUCAAUGGGCGUAAGCCUGAACCAGCCAAGUCGCGUGAGGGAUGAAGGUUCUAUGGAUCGUAAACCUCUUUUAUAAGGGAAUAAAGUGUGGGACGUGUCCUGUUUUGUAUGUACCUUAUGAAUAAGGAUCGGCUAACUCCGUGCCAGCAGCCGCGGUAAUACGGAGGAUCCGAGCGUUAUCCGGAUUUAUUGGGUUUAUAGGGUGCGUAGGCGGCCUUUUAAGUCAGCGGUGAAAGUCUGUGGCUCAACCAUAGAAUUGCCGUUGAAACUGGGAGGCUUGAGUAUGUUUGAGGCAGGGGGAAUGCGUGGUGUAGCGGUGAAAUGCUUAGAUAUCACGCAGAACCCCGAUUGCGAAGGCAGCCUGCCAAGCCAUGACUGACGCUGAUGCACGAAAGCGUGGGGAUCAAACAGGAUUAGAUACCCCAGUAGUC
rnacentral:rRNA from 1 species